rnacentral:rRNA from 1 species
CAGUCGCCACGGGAAUACGAAGGGUGCAAGCGUUACUCGGAAUUACUGGGCGUAAAGCGUGCGUAGGUGGUGGUUUAAGUCCGUUGUGAAAGCCCUGGGCUCAACCUGGGCAUUGCAGUGGAUACUGGAUCACUAGAGUGUGGUAGAGGAUAGUGGAAUUUCCGGUGUAGCAGUGAAAUGCGUAGAGAUCGGAAGGAACAUCUGUGGCGAAGGCGGCCAUCUGGGACAACACUGACGCUGAGGCACGAAAGCGUGGGGAGCAAACAGGAUUAGAUACCCGAGUAGUCCCUGUCUCUUAUAC